rnacentral:rRNA from 1 species
GACAGAGGGUGCGAACGUUGUUCGGAAUUACUGGGCGUAAAGCGCAUGUAGGCGGCAGCGCAAGUCGGGCGUGAAAUCCCACGGCUCAACCGUGGAAGUGCACUCGAAACUGCGCAGCUAGAGUCCUGUAGAGGAAGGUGGAAUGCUUGGUGUAGAGGUGAAAUUCGUAGAUAUCAAGCGGAACACCGGUGGCGAAGGCGGCCUUCUGGACAGUGACUGACGCUGAGAUGCGAAAGCGUGGGGAGCAAACAGG